CAGGAAAUAGUUUAUAAAAAUAUUAAUUUUGGAGAUUAAUGAUAGGGAGAUUCUCUUUUCCUGA
rnacentral:tRNA from 1 species